rnacentral:ribozyme from 1 species
CUCUAGCCCGUGCAGGCACCUCUUCGUGGUGCUAGGGACCAGUAUUCGAGCGUUCCAAGAGUAUUCGGAGAAGCAAAGACCUGC